UACAGAGGUCUCAAGCGUUGUUCGGAUCAUUGGGCGUAAAGCGUGCGUAGACGGUUGCGUAAGUCAGAUGUGAAAGCCCCGGGCUCAACCUGGGAAUUGCAUUUGAGACUGCGUAGCUAGGGUGCGGAAGAGGGAAGCGGAAUUUCCGGUGUACGCGGUGAAUGCGUAGAUAUCGGAAGGAACACCAGUGGCGAAAGCGGCUUCCUGGUC
rnacentral:rRNA from 1 species